AGUGAACGCUGGCGGUAGGCCUAACACAUGCAAGUCGAACGGCAGCACAGUAGGAGCUUGCUCUUACGGGUGGCGAGUGGCGGACGGGUGAGGAAUACAUCGGAAUCUACUUUUUCGUGGGGGAUCACGUAGGGAAACUUACGCUAAUACCGCAUACGACCUACGGGUGAAAGCAGGGGAUCUUCGGACCUUGCGCGAUUGAAUGAGCCGAUGUCGGAUUAGCUAGUUGGCGGGGUAAAGGCCCACCAAGGCGACGAUCCGUAGCUGGUCUGAGAGGAUGGUCAGCCACACUGGGACUGAGACACGGUCCAGAGGCCUACGGGAGGCAGCAGUGGGGAAUAUUGGACAAUGGGCGCAAGCCUGAUCCAGCCAUACCGCGUGGGUGAAGAAGGCCUUCGGGUUGUAAAGACCUUUUGUUGGGAAAGAAAAGCAGCAGGUUAAUACCCCGCGGUUCUGACGGUACCCAAAGAAUAAGCACCGGCUAACUUCGUG
rnacentral:rRNA from 1 species